ensembl:ncRNA lncRNA:CR43285 long non-coding RNA:CR43285
AUGUGUAAAUCCGGCGCGGAGAUUAGAACAUUUUGCGCGGCAGCAUCGCAGUGGGUGGGUUGGGCGUUUGAGGCGGAGGGGCGAAGGGGCGUGGCAGCUUUACACCCGCAAGGACAUCGUCGCAUCUCGCUCUGUCUGCUCAAUUCGGCUAUGGUGGUGAUUUCACAUGGGAAUCGCAUACAGAUCCCCCAAAGCUGUAAACUCCACUUCGAGCAUUUUGUACCCACUUAAUACCUUAGUCCUUCGCCGGCAACAACAACAACAACAACAACAACAGCUGCAGCAACAGGAGGCAGGAUGGGCAUCGCUUCUUCAGCGGCACGCUUGAGCUAAUUUAAUCGCCGCAAAUUGCUCGACAAUCUGCCUGGCAUUAGAACUGCUCCACACACGUGAAUUGCGAGCACCCCCGGCGUAUACGGGAUAUGCGAUAUGAAUUGGUAUGAUGUUGGGACCGGGGAUGCGGAAUUAUGGCGGGGAUUUGAUAUGGCUGCUGGUGUGAAGUAGAUUACAUUGGCAUGGCAGCAGGACCCAAACAAAAAAAAAAACACUCAGUGCU